rnacentral:lncRNA from 1 species
UGAGCUUCAUAAGUACACAUCUACUUUAUUUUCUUUAUAGAUACUCAAUGAAUAUUCAUGAAAUUGAUGAAUACAUUUAAGACACAGAGGGCUAAGAAAAGUGAUACAAAGAUAUAUACAAGAAACUACAUACUCAUAAAUUGUGUAUUUUCUACCCCAAAAUAGAUUUGCAUAAACAGUCUGUGUGAAAUAUUCUAUAAUAGGCAUUUUAAAGAUAAAAAAGGAACAAAAUACAAUGGAGAAAAAAUAAGUGAAGUUAUAGAUUAAACAUAAUUUUUGGAGGUUGAUAAAUAUGCGCUUAUUUAAUAUCAUGGUCAUGAAGAUAUACACAAGUAUUCAUAAAAUUAAUGAAACAAUAACCAAGACUGAAGAGAAUUCUAUUGAUCUUGAGAAGCUGAUUGAAGAUUUUGAAAAAUUAAUGUUUACGGAGUUUCCUUUACAAACUCUCUGGCUUCUUGCAUAGAUCAAGACUGAAAUGAAGAUCAGAGGUGCUGGAGUUCCCAUUGUGGCUCAGCAGUAAUGAACUCAACUAGCAUCCAUGAGAAAGUGGGUUUGGUCCCUGGCCCUACUCAGUGGGUCUGGGAUCCCGGCAUUGCCGUGAGCUGUGGUGUAGGCUGCAGCCAUGGCUCAGAUCCCCAAUGCUGUGGCUGUGGUGUAGACUGGCAGCUGCAGCUCCGAUUUGACCCCAAAGACCAAAGGCCCAGUGUAAACUAGAUCAAGCUCCUGCAAGUAAAGGAGAAGAUAGGAACCUACAACUCAAAGGGAAGACAAGAUCAAACACUUCUCACCACAUUUUUUAAAAUAAAAUUGUGUGGAUUCAGUAGUUUUGAGCACCUAUUGUAAUUUAAGUUCCAGGGCAAUAAUAAUUGAUAAGACAAAUACAUCUCUACUUUCCAUAGAUGUGGAAAAGUACCAGAGACUCGUGAUUGGCUUUCAGUCCUAAGUUUCAGUUUGAAGAAAAUGGGUACUGAAAUGAUCUGGAAUUAUUUAUAGUGCGGUAACCUCAACGGAUCAAAGAAAACCAUCAGUGACUAAAAGCAACCAUGUGGACAUUAGUACAAAUACAGUAACCGAAGAACCAUGUGUUUCAUGUACUUCUGAAAAUAAGUUUCAAAUCAGCCUUCCAGAGAGAUUAGCAUGGCAAAACCCAAAUAGGGUAAGCCAGGGACCAUUCCCUGACAUUUGUAAGUCUUUGGGACCCAAAAGAUCCCCAGAUUCCUACAGAACCAGACAGUAGAGCGAAUGGGGUACUUCUGAGGAAAAUAGGACUUCACACAGUACACCAAGACAAGUAAUGGUAGACUUAGUACAAGGUGAUUUUUUACUCUGAAGUCUCCCCCCUUAAUAUUGGGAAAGUCAAUUCAGUGCUGUUUAUCUUAUUCCAAUAUAAUGAAUAAAGGAUGAAUCUAAUUGACGUCAAAUACGCAUGCCUCAUGGUUUUAAAAAAAUCUCUAAAACUCCUCCUCACUCACAUCUUAACUGCAACAAUACCAUUUUCCCCCAGAGCUUCCUAUAUAUUUUAAUUAUGAGUGGGAAGAAAAGUAUAUCAAACCUUGCAAAUAACAUGACAUUAUGUCCUCAGUUUAAUUAGAAAACAUUCUUUAAAAAGGAUCCAUAUGUAAAUCCUCUUGAAUGGAGAGAUUAAAACGAAUGUUACAGUCUAAUUAAAUUAUUCCGUAUAAAUUUCGUUUGCAGCAUUCUAUGUGGAAAUUUGUAGAGAGUUAUGGGAAACACUUAGCAGAAUAUUUCUGUUAUGCUAAUGACCUCAAAACCCUACCAUAUUUCAUCCUUCAGGAUCUUGCAUAAGGAGGUGGAAGGGAGACUAUGAAGAUUACUGAAUGUGCUUGAAUUUCAGAAGGAAAAAUGUAGUUAUCUAGAGAAUGUAUUUUUAGAAUGUACUUUUAUUAAUGAAAUGCAUUUUCAAGUUAUUUCUUUUUUUAAUAACACGUUUUGAGCUUUUAGAUUCUCCUUUCUUCAUGCUGAUAUCUUUCUUGUCUGACUUCAUUGAGGCUGCCAAUAGCACUAAGCUUUGUGUGGGAAGCUGUCAUCUGGGAACACAACAUCUUUGGCUUUUUUGUGAGAUUGCCGGUGAUGCUUCCUUUGAUGAACAAAAGCACUUCUCUGGGGUUUGUGUGUUUCUUCUAGGAAACACCUUAAAGAAAUAAUUAGCUAGGCUGGAGUUUCAGGAGAGAGAAAGUGAGCCUUUACUGCUACCAGAAAAGCCUAUUUUUUGUUUUGUUUUGUUUUGUUUUGGUCAACAAUCAAUAGUUUCCUUUGUGAACACCGGUCCUUUAUAAAAUGAAAGUUGUAGAGACUCAAAAAAUGGUCUUUAAGUAACAAGGGGCACUCACAAAUUGUGCUAAUUUUGACUUGCUGUUUUUUUUCCCCCCCAUUACUGCAUUGAUCUCAACAGCUGUAGGUACUUAAACUCGCUUUCUGGAACCCUUGCUCCCUACAUUAUGCACAAGAGCAGAAGUAGGGACAAUUAUUACCAAUUUUUCACAGAGCCCAGGGAGCCACUCGAGAGGAGGAUAGACAUUCUUCCCCUGCCACCUUCCCUUCACACUUUCCAAUUGCGACAGCAUCUCAUAAAAUAGCACAGUAAUAUUCAUUAGGAAAAAUAGAAUUUUUAUAUGUGAGAACAAAGGAAAGAGACGCUAUAAGAGAAAGAAGGGAAAGUUAAGCUAGUCUUUUCAAGCUAAGGGUGUCUCAAAUGAUAUGUAAUGAAAGGUCUUUGUGAGUUUGAUUGGAUGUAUGUGAGCAUUUGCGACACCUGUGCCUGCAGGGGGCCGCACCAGCAGCCAAAUGGUAAUACUGGUGUGUAAUUACAGAGCACUUAACUGCAUUCAGCCAUGGUUUGUUUCUCUGAUAAUUUCCACUUUCAUUGUUCAAGAGGCUGUGGACACUGUAGAAGCUGAGGUUCAAGUACCUGCAGCUGUUGAGAUAAAUGAAUGUAGUAGCUGUUUUUAAAGUUUCCAAUAGGAAUGCUGUUUAAAAGGUAAGUUUGACAGAAGUACAGUUAAAAUAUUCUACUUACCUUUCCAAAGACAUAAAAUCCUUUACCUCUAACUGGAUCAUUCUUUAGUCCUCUUUCUUCCUCAUUUCACAAGUUGGCUGAGCUCCUUUUCCCCCCAUAAGUAAAGCUGGUUUCUCCUUGCAUGCUAAUAAAUUCUCAGUGUGGAAAAAGCUACUUCGAUUUCUAUUCAGCUCUGCAGGCAUAGCCCCUAUGUUGUCUGCACUUGUGAUAUAUAAUGGAAUCUGACAUUUUAAAAUGUGUUAACCUAUUUAUAUAAAAGAAUAAAAAUGUUCCAAAAGGACCGAGACUUGCCAAAUCUGAACACUAUUCUGCUUUCAUUUUCUUGGAUUUCCCACCUCCAAAUUCUUGAAUGUGUUAUUUAUUUGUGUUUAAUUCUUCUUAAAGUUUGGAACAUUAGAAAAUACAAAUGUAAUAAAAACAAAAAAUUAAUAUAAUUUCAUUUUCAGCACCAUGGAGAGAGUAUAUAUUGUCCUGUUUUCCAAAGACUUUAUUUCAGGAACAAAAAUAUGGAGAUCAUCUAGAAACAAUGCUGCUGGAUUAUUCCUACUUUUCUCAUUUUACUGUACUUUGCAAAUAUCUUGCUCAAUUUAAUAUGAAAAUUGACAGCCUUUAUUAAAUUUCCACAAUACCAAAACUUAACUACUGCUUUGAACUUUUGAUACUUUCAGCAAGCAAUUCUUGUUUGUUGCAAAUUAUGAGUUAUAUUUCUAUAUUGGUUACUAGUGGUCUGCUUACUUUUUGUCAAAGUGUUGGUCAAAGUGAACUUUUUCUCUCUCUCUGAGUGUGUAUAUAUGUGUUUUUAGAUAGGUGGGUUGAUUGAUAGAGCAAUAAUAAAUUAAAUGUGGUAAAAUAUUACCAAUAGGUAAAUCUGAAUAAAGGGAAUACUAUUUUGAUAUUGCAAUUGUUAAGUCCAAACAUUUCUUUUCUUUUUUGUUUUUUUUUUUGUUUUGUUUUGUUUUAGGGCCGUACCUGCAGCAUAUGGAGGUUCCCAGGCUAGGAGUCCAAGCAGGUCUGUAGCCACCAGCCUAUUCCACAGCCACAGCAACACAAGAGGGGAGCCACGUCUUCAACCUACACCACAGCUCACCACAACGUGGAGCCUUAACCCACUGAGCGAGGCCAGGGAUCGAACCUGCAUCCUCAUGGAUGCUUUUCGGGUUUGCUAACCACUGAGCCACGACGGGAACUCCCCAAACUUAUUUCUAAGUAAAAGUUUUUAAAACUUCUCUAUGGUUUAAACAUGUGCAACUAAGAAUU